rnacentral:rRNA from 1 species
UGGGGAAUUUUGGACAAUGGGGGCAACCCUGAUCCAGCAAUGCCGCGUGAGUGAAGAAGGCCUUCGGGUUGUAAAGCUCUUUUGUCAGGGAAGAAACGGUGGGGGCUAAUAUCCUCUGCUAAUGACGGUACCUGAAGAAUAAGCACCGGCUAACUACGUGCCAGCAGCCGCGGUAAUACGUAGGGUGCGAGCGUUAAUCGGAAUUACUGGGCGUAAAGGGUGCGCAGGCGGUUGUGCAAGACAGAUGUGAAAUCCCCGGGCUUAACCUGGGAAUGGCAUUUGUGACUGCACAGCUAGAGUGUGUCAGAGGGGGGUAGAAUUCCACGUGUAGCAGUGAAAUGCGUAGAUAUGUGGAGGAAUACCGAUGGCGAAGGCAGCCCCCUGGGAUAACACUGACGCUCAUGCACGAAAGCGUGGGGAGCAAACA